rnacentral:rRNA from 1 species
AUUGAACGCUGGCGGCAUGCCUUACACAUGCAAGUCGAACGGCAGCACGGGAGCAAUCCUGGUGGCGAGUGGCGAACGGGUGAGUAAUAUAUCGGAACGUGCCCAGUCGUGGGGGAUAACGUAGCGAAAGCUACGCUAAUACCGCAUACGAUCUAUGGAUGAAAGCGGGGGAUCGCAAGACCUCGCGCGAUUGGAGCGGCCGAUAUCAGAUUAGGUAGUUGGUGAGGUAAAGGCUCACCAAGCCGACGAUCUGUAGCUGGUCUGAGAGGACGACCAGCCACACUGGGACUGAGACACGGCCCAGACUCCUACGGGAGGCAGCAGUGGGGAAUUUUGGACAAUGGGCGCAAGCCUGAUCCAGCAAUGCCGCGUGCAGGAUGAAGGCCUUCGGGUUGUAAACUGCUUUUGUACGGAACGAAACGGCGAGCUCUAAUACAGCUUGCUAAUGACGGUACCGUAAGAAUAAGCACCGGCUAACUACGUGCCAGCAGCCGCAGUAACAC